UUGGUUAAGACAUUACAAUUCAAAGACAAAUUAUUCAAGAGUCAAAUAUUCAAAUUUUAGAAAUGGGGUGAAAGGUACAUUUCUUAAGAAACAAGACACAAAUUGCAUCAAGGCCAAGAAUCACAUUCAAAGUAUCAAAAGUGUAUUAAAAAAAGGUCAUAUUUGUUGAUUACAUAAAAAAAAUCCUAUUUUGACCUAAGGUUGACUUUUGGUCAAACAUUUGACCAAAGUCAAACUAAGUCCUAAGACUACUUGUCUCUUCGUCCUCAGGAUUCUCCAUGUGUGCCUCUAAGUUUUUAAAUUCCCUACCAAGCUUUCAUCAUGAUGUGCCAUGCCAAACCAUGUUAAGCUCCUUGAUCAAGACUUCAUGUUUCCACCAUGUCAAGACUUGUAACUUCCCCGCAUCAAUAAGAUCAAGUCAGUAUCAUACACACACCCAAAAUUAUGCUUUGCCACAACCCUUAGCCUAUAUUUCAUGCAUACAAGCUAAAGCAUAACCAUGACAAUCCAUACAUAUAAACACACAUAGGCCACAUUAUAAAACUCAACAAUACAUACACAUACACGUCCAAUACUUAGCAGCACACAUACACAUUUGCAAUACACAAACCUACUAUCAUAGCCAAGCACAAACAAUAACCUAACAACAUUCCAUACAAUAUAACCAAUAUAUACCAAGAUAUCACUUAAUUGACAUGUAACUGUAAAAUAACACCAUUACUUUGCAAUCCAUACAAAGAUUAUGCAAUCCAAAACUAACCUCUACUAAUAGUUAGAACCAACCUCUAUCAUCUGAAUUAAAUUAGUUGUCAAUAUUUUAACCUAGCUAACUAACUCUCAUUCAGUUUACCAACCAUUGAGUUGUCAAGACUAACACCAGCCUACAACCACCCUUCAAUUCCUCCUCAAUAACCAAGUUGUCAUGGUUUUUUUUGUCAUUGCCAAAUUGACCAACAUCUUUAAAUGACCAUUACUAAUUUUUUGACAACUAUCUUAAUUUAUAUUCAAACUUCUAACCAACUAACAUUCAACUAACAGUUAAACUAAUUCAGUCAACUAACCCUAACUGUUUUCCAUCCUUUGUAACUAAUUAGACAAUAAUUUCUAACUCCUAUUUUUCAUCUUCUAUUAACCUUUUUCCAUUAUCAAAGUUAACUACUGAUCAACUAACCUUUUAACUAGUUCAAUUGGCCUAACAAUUAACUUCUAACUUCUAACAGUUCAAGUUUCUAACUCAAACAUCAACUAACUCAGUUCAAACUAACCUAAUAUCUAAUUAUCUCAAGCUAACACUGCCAUCACACAAACUGAUUUUUGUUCAUUCUAAAACUAACUUCAACUAACUCUAAAAUAUAAUCUCACGGUUGCCAUACUUGUUAACCAACUUUUCCCUAAAGCUACUCGAAUCACUUAUAUUUUCCCUCUCAUUCAAUCUUUAGAUCCCUCUAUUUAAACAAUGCUUCCUCUGCAAUCAACUAUAGACAAUUCAUUCACCAUUACCCUUAUUUUUUUGUAUAAUUCGAUGCAACCCCUCUUCCCACUCUCCCUCAAACUCCAUUAAAGCUCUUUUCAAGGUACUCCUCAUAGAUUCACACUGAAGCUCUGAAAGAGUAGAGAUAAAACCUUAAUACUCUCUCAAUUCCUAACCUAGCUAUCAAUUUCAUACAAGUUAGGUUUUAAUUUGAUAAUCACACAAGAAGGGGAGAAGAAGAAGUAAUUGAAAUAAGCUAAGGUUCGAAGCAUCUACCUGAUUGUGCAUCCUCUGGUCCUCUUAUCUUCAUCUCCAACAUCAACAAUUCCCAGAGCAUAUCUUAGCUCUAUAGGUAGGUCUCUCUUGAAACACCUUCUUCUUGUUUCCCUCGUGUUACCUGGAUGUAGGUUUCUUACUUAAGAACCAUGACCCAAAGAUAUUCAAGGAGAAUUGUGAGUUUUAGGUUGUUUAAUUUCAAGAUGAGGUUUUAAGAGUUCAUGGAUAUUUGUUUCUAUUUGGAACUCUGGGAUGAUAUCUGGGUGAAAUUGUGGGGAGAAAUAGAAGGAGGAUGAGAAGAAGAUCUCAGUGGUGGUGGCUUUGUACACUUCUUGGCUUUGCCGCCACGAGGCCUAUUUUUGGCGCGGCAAAGAGAUUUCUAGCCAUCUGAGAUAUUAUAAGGAGGGAAGGGAUGUGUUUGAUGAGUUGAAGAAGGAUUGAUUUUGAAAUGAGGCCUCAACACCCCCCUUGCCC
rnacentral:lncRNA from 1 species